UACGGGGGGGGCAAGCGUUGUUCGGAAUUACUGGGCGUAAAGGGCUCGUAGGCGGCCAACUAAGUCAGACGUGAAAUCCCCAGGCUCAACCUGGGAACUGCGUCUGAUACUGAUUGGCUUGAAUCCGGGAGAGGGAUGCAGAAUUCCAGGUGUAGCGGUGAAAUGCGUAGAUAUCUGGAGGAAUACCGGUGGCGAAGGCGGCAUCCUGGACCGACAUUGACGCUGAGGAGCGAAAGCUAGGGGAGCAAACGGG
rnacentral:rRNA from 1 species